UGGCUGGAUCCUGUGGGGACCGGCUGACCUGGCACUGGUGUCCGCACCAUUAUAUAAAUAAAUUCGGUACUAAUGCGAGACCGGGUUGACUUCAGGUCUGAUCGGUUUUAAAAUUUUCAAAAAUCAGUUUCCAUCUAAAAUUCUCACCAGGUUGGAGCGACAGCCCUAUGCGAAACAAGUGAAAAGUCCAAGCCGUGGCAAAUGAGGCAACGAACAAAAGUCCCGUUCGUCGUCUUCUUGCCCCCCGCGCCCCCCACCCCCCCCCGGGCAUCUAUUCAUUUUCUUCCCCCGAUUUCAUCAUCGUCGAAGAAGUGUAAGCUUUCGUUCUCCUCGCGGCUCUCCUGAAGGUCGAUCGCUCCCAUCCGUUCUCUGAGAAUUGGAGUCGAGGAGAUCGCUGAGCUCGCCCGUAACAAGGUUCUGGUAGCUGCUGUGAUUGGUUCGGUAAUCGGGCAGGUCUCAAAACCUCUGGCUUCGGCUCUUUUAAUGGAAAUGGCAUCGAUCUAAAGGCAGUAAUUCGUUCUGGUGGAAUGCCGUCGACCCCCAUUUCCCCUGUAACUGGGGGAUAUGGGCUUGAUAUUGGGACCAAUUUGUGGAACUUAGUGCUUUUGAAUUCACAGAGUGUCACGGCAGCUGCAACUUCGCUUAGUCUUGAAAGGUUAGUAAAGAAAUUACUCGUUUCAUAGUUUUGAAUGAUAAAUUCUCUCGCGUUCUCGUGUAUGAUCGUGCUAUAUGAUUAAAUGCCUAACCUUUCGAUUUGCUUGAGAUAAAUUGGUGCAGCAACUCGGACGCCUGGCUAACACACAAUAAACUACUAAAAUCCAGAUUGAUUAUGCCCGUUAACAAAUAUAUAGGCCAAUCAAAUAAUUCAUUUGAAGGGCUACAAAAUAUAUCUACAAACCAUAAAAUUCAGGAUUCCACACGCAACUAAACGUUUCGGAUGUUUUAGCAGAAUAUUAAUUCAUCUGGACCAGUUCUUGAAGGUUGGGGGGCAUGGCCCAUGAGAACUUCGUCACCGGUCGAACUCGUCCAAACUCGCCGAGGCGGAUCUUUUCGAGGAGUCGGCACUCGACAGCAAGCAUGGGAGGCAUGGCCGAUCAUUGAUAGGGAGCUUCUUGAGGUCGAUCUCGACGAUGCCCGGGAUACCCGUUAGCUAUGUCCUUGAAGAGGCGGUGUUAGUCGCCGCUUCAGUGGAAAACCUCGAGGGUUUUUGAAGUUGGGAAUCAGCGACGAGGAGGCGAAAUGCUGGCAGUUGCAGAGCUCCUUGAGGCAGAGGAAGAUUAGGGCGAGUCACUCAUCGGGUAGGGAGUGACAGGACUAUUUUUCAAUAACUUGAGGACUCAAAUCAUCUAUUUUUUUCUUUUGAUGACUCGAUCAAAUUUUUUUGCAACUAAGGAUUCCUUCAUUA